GCGGGGUGGGACUCCUUCGACGCACCGCGGAGGCUGGAGCUGCUGGUGAGGGAAACAGGUUCUGCUGGUGCAGUCGUGCUCCCCGAAGGACACCAGCCCGAUGGAGAUGGUCUGCAGAAAUGGCCGGAUGGCAGGCGUGAACUGUGGAGAGACGCUGCUGGGUCACCUGCUGCCCAGGAGGGACUGGAGGCAGGAGUGAGGGGCAGAGAUGUGGUUUGGGGGGAGGCGUGGUCAUUCAGCAAACAUUUAGUGAGUUCCUACUCACAUUGCUCUAGGCAACAGGAAGCAAAUAAAGGCGCAUGUUCAAUGUCAA